rnacentral:rRNA from 1 species
CACGUAGGGGGCAAGCGUUGUCCGGAUUUAUUGGGCGUAAAGAGCUCGUAGGCGGUUCGGUAAGUCGGGUGUGAAACCUCCAGGCUCAACCUGGAGACGCCACCCGAUACUGCUGUGACUCGAGUCCGGUGAGGGGAGCGUGGAAUUCCUGGUGUAGCGGUGAAAUGCGUAGAGAUGUGGAGGAACACCGAUGGCGAAGGCAGCCUCCUGGGCCAGCACUGACGCUCAUGCACGAAAGCGUGGGGAGCAAACAGG